GGGGUGCUUGCACCCCGCUGACGAGCGGCGGACGGGUGAGUAAUGCAUAGGAAAUUGCCCAGUAGUGGGGGAUAGCCCGGGGAAACCCGGAUUAAUACCGCAUACGUCCUUCGGGAGAAAGCAGGGGAUCUUCGGACCUUGCGCUAUUGGAUGUGCCUAUGUCGGAUUAGCUAGUUGGUGGGGUAAAGGCCUACCAAGGCGACGAUCCGUAGCUGGUCUGAGAGGAUGAUCAGCCACAUCGGGACUGAGACACGGCCCGAACUCCUACGGGAGGCAGCAGUGGGGAAUAUUGGACAAUGGGGGCAACCCUGAUCCAGCCAUGCCGCGUGUGUGAAGAAGGCUUUCGGGUUGUAAAGCACUUUCAGUGAGGAGGAAAACCUUAUGGUUAAUACCCAUGANGCUUGACGUUACUCACAGAAGAAGCACCGGCUAACUCCGUGCCAGCAGCCGCGGUAAUACGGAGGGUGCAAGCGUUAAUCGGAAUUACUGGGCGUAAAGCGCGCGUAGGUGGUUUGAUAAGCGAGAUGUGAAAGCCCCGGGCUUAACCUGGGAACGGCAUUUCGAACUGUCAGGCUAGAGUAUGG
rnacentral:rRNA from 1 species